rnacentral:rRNA from 1 species
GACGAACGCUGGCGGCGUGCUUAACACAUGCAAGUCGAACGGAAAGGCCCUGCUUGCAGGGUACUCGAGUGGCGAACGGGUGAGUAACACGUGGGUGAUCUGCCCUGCACUUCGGGAUAAGCCUGGGAAACUGGGUCUAAUACCGGAUAGGAGCCAUUUUUAGUGUGAUGUUGGAAAGUUUUUUCGGUGUAGGACGAGCUCGCGGCCUAUCAGCUUGUUGGUGGGGUAAUGGCCUACCAAGGCGGCGACGGGUAGCCGGCCUGAGAGGGUGGACGGCCACAUUGGGACUGAGAUACGGCCCAGACUCCUACGGGAGGCAGCAGUGGGGAAUAUUGCACAAUGGGCGCAAGCCUGAUGCAGCGACGCCGCGUGGGGGAUGACGGCCUUCGGGUUGUAAACUCCUUUCGCUAGGGACGAAGCUUUUUGUGACGGUACCUAGAUAAGAAGCACCGGCUAACUACGUG